rnacentral:lncRNA from 1 species
AAUCUAUUCAGAUUACUGGCAAUUUAACAUGGGCCCACCAUAUUACUGCAUUUGGUAUAUCUUUUAAGUAGUAAUUUGGAUUGCAUUGACAAUCCAGAUUGCCUCCCAAAAUCUGAAUUACCUUCAAGAGGGGUGGCUAUCCUCAAAAAAUUUGGACGAUCUUCUUUCUCAUGAUUGACAACAAAAAGAGGGAGGCCAAAAUUAGUGCCCUCAUCUACAA